UUUUUAUUUAGGCUAAAAAUUAUGUUUAAAUGAGAAAAAUUCUAUUCAUGACGAUAGUGCAUUCACUGUUUAAUCUAAUGGUGUUGUCAAAGCUUCAAGGCGCCAUUGGGCUAGGAGCUCUCUGAUACUGUCAGUUUGGGAAGUAGGUCCAUUCUUAUGGUACAAACGACAGUUCGUUUCCAGGGUUUCCUGACACGCCAACUAAGCCACUUAAGGAGAAGGUUGGGAUAAACACGUGAUUUGUUGCUUAGGAACAAGACGAAAUCUAAUGGCAAAAAUUGAAAGCCAAUCACAGAUUCAUUCACACAAGGACUCCCCUGGCGUAGUCAAACCAGUGGCGUCAGGACAAGGCAUGUCUCAAAAAUUCAAGUAUUUCUUAACUUUGUGGGCUUUUUUUGAGAACCUCUUAUUUUCUGGUCUCAGAGCAGGCUGGCCUGCCCUCGUAUACAUCCUCAAGCAGGAGCAUAUUUAUUCUUAUCUGUGUGUAAAGGAACCUCUCAAAGCGACACCAAACGCUACGGUUCAUCUGAUUCAAAGCCGACAAAUUUCACCGAGCGAACUCACAAAAACAGAGAUGUAUAACGCAUCAACUCCUUACCAGCAUAAACAAUUUUCACAGCAUGGUGUUGAGGAAGCUUUGGUGAUGUUUCAAAACUUGAGUGGCACUGCACUAAAUCACACUUCUACUCAGUGUGACGAGCAGGACGCCGUAUUCAAUCAAUGCUUCACAAUUACCACAGCAACCAUGGCUCUCAGCGCACUGCUGUAUGGACAGCUGAACUAUAAAUUUGGUAUCAGGGCACCCAGAGUAUUAUCUGUGUUUUUGUUUGUAGCUGGAUCAAUGUGUAUAGCGUUUAUAAAUAAAGAUGUUCCAUGGCUGGUGUUUCCUGGUUUCAUACUUAUAAGUUCUGGUGGUAUGGCUCUGUAUUUAACAAACAAUCAGAUUUCUUAUCUGUACUCAAAAGGUAGUGCUGGUAUAGUGGGCCUCUUAUGUGGUGCACUGGAAGCGUCGUCCUUUGUUCAAACGGUCAUUAAGAUCGCCUACGAGUCUGGAGUCAGUUUACUCGUGUCCCACCUGGUGCUUGGCGCCCUGUACUUGUGCACCCUGCUGAGUACAUUCUUCUUCUUGCCCAGAAACUUCAUCCCCAGCCAAGAAGAUGUUCCCAAGAACAACAGAGAUGACGAAGAACACAUUGAGUCUACUGGUGAUCCUGAUCUGAAUGAGAAGAGAGUCACUCCAGACGCUGGAGAUUCUCAAAAGAAGGAACACGUACUUGAAAAAUACCAAUCCGAACACGUUGUUCAAAAUUACGUCACCGAAGACCAGGGAGAUAGACCAAUCGGAGACUUUCUUCAGAUUCAAACUAAUGGCGGAAACUAUGUUCUUAAAGAAGUAGGUAAUUCAUCGACGUUGAGCGGAGCGUCCAAAGAGUUCAAAGGUCGUAGUACAAAAAAACUACUGGAGUGCUUAUUCUCCAGAACAUACCUACUCUAUCUCUUCUGGGCAUGCGUAGUGCAGAUAAUUUUGGCAAUGUGUCUGGGAACGUUCAACCCUUGGCUUGAAUUCGUCACAAACAAAAAUCUUGAAGAAGUUAGUCGAUUUACAGAUGUCUUACUGUAUUCAAUGCUAGGCAGUCCUGUACUGUCACUGUGUAUUGGCUUGUCUAUGGAUUUCCUAAACAACGGAGACAACACAGACAAGCAACAAGCAGUGAAGAGAACUCUGAUUACUUCCAGUGUAUCCUUGGGCGCCACAAGCGUAUUGGGAGUGAUCGCGUGUGCCUUCUUCAUUGUCAGUGGUCCCGACAUUAUUGUCGUCACCAGUAUUGCUCUUGUGAUUUUUAGAACCGCCUUGUACAGCUGUGGCGCUGCCUUUCUCAGAAUCAUGUAUCCCACUGAACUGUUCGGGCUACUUUGUGGAAUCAUGUCGUUAAUGUCAGGAGGAAUCAGCUUUGUGCAGUAUCCUUUGUUUCUAUGGGUGCAGACAAGAGUGCAGGCUUGGAAAGAGACGGCUCCGGUGAAACUUUACAUCGAUGGUCCCCUUUGAAGAGUAUUACGCGAGUGGCAGCGCGUUGCUUCCCUUAGGUCACAAUGUUACUACUGGCGGCGGAACGCUGUCGCUGUUAGUUCUUGAUAGGUCUUUGGAUUUUUAGGACUUCUUGGCAUUGUGUCGCUAGUACAACCUAUAUACUUACUUUGGAAGAGCAGGCAGAUCGAGAGGAACAACUGACGUGAUGGCCCCAUUGCAUUUGCUUAGAAUAAACAAACUUUUUACCGGACAGACAGAAUGACAGAGUGCGUUCAUAUAGCCUAAGAUUUGUAAAAAUUGGAACAUCGCUAUAUGCAUAAAUGUUGUACGUAACAAAAUACUAUAUGCCCUAUAUUCUCUAUAAUACAAGUCGGAAUACACAUAAUCAAUAUUA